rnacentral:tRNA from 1 species
UGGGUUGUGGCUCAGUGGUAGAGUGCUUAUUUUGCAUACAUGAGGCACUGGGUUCCAUCCUCAGCACUACAU